UAUUUCGUAUUUUAAAUCAUUAAUACUUGGCUCCUUGGUAGCUUGAAUAUGAAAUCUAUUUAACACUUCAUCUAAAGAGUAUGAAAAUCGUUCUAUUUUUUCAUUUUUAUUUUCUUCUGAUUUUUCAUAUUCAAUAAGUCUUUUUAGAGCAUUUUGUUUUUUCUGAGGUUCUUCUAUUUGCUCAAUUAGAUCUAGAAUGAAUUUUUGCUCAUUAGUUAUUACAUUUAUGCUCAAACCAUUCAUAUCUAGAAUGGAUUUGUAAUAAUCAAUCUUAUUACUACAUUCUACACACUCAGAACUAUUAUCAGUGUUACUAUCUGAACUUUCUGAGAUGGUAUCAAGACUCUCACUAUCUGGGUAAUCUGUCGAGGAUUCAUCGUCACUGUUUUCUAUUAACUCACAUACUUUUCUUUUGAUAUCUUCAUCAAUUUGUAGUUCUUGAAUCUUUUUCUUAUAAUCAUUCUUUCUUUUAGACCAACAGUUAUUUGCGUAGUGGCCUUUUUUACCACAAUUGUUACAAACUAUAUCCUUAAAUACUUUUUUAGAUUUUCUUCUUUCAAAUUUAUUAGGUUCUCCUUUAAACCUUUUCCUCUUUUUCCUUUUGUAUGUUCUAGUGUUUUCUAUGUAUAUCUUUUUAUUUUUUGUGGCGGCUGGUUUUUUUGGUAUAUCAAAAGCAAAUUGAUCACAAAAUUGACCCAAUUCUUUUCUACUUCUAAGUCCUUGUUUCUUAAGUUGGGCUUUAAGAUUUAGAUCAUUACAUAAUGACAAGCCUUCACUUGUGCAUUCUGAUAUGAUAUCACCAUAUGUAUAUUGAUCAUAAGGAAUUGCUUCUCCAUGACGUGAUGAAAUUCUAUUUAUAAUUCUUUCGGCGAAAAGAGGGGGCAAACCGCUGAUAAAUUUUUCUUUCCAGAAUGAAUUAUUAGCAUCAUUUCGAAGCAUGAUUUUUGCUAAGAAAACAUCUUUAUAACAUCUAAAAUGGGUUGUGGCGGAGUUGCUUCUGCUAGAAUCCAGUUUUCUGGCAACUGGAUAUUUUUCCAAGAGAUUGCCCUUGGUGUCAUCAUAUUAGAUUUAUUUGAAUCCAUCUCUAUUAAUGUUGUUCUACCUUUUAUACUUUGAUACCUAUUUUUUGGGUUUAAUGUAUUCAUAACUUUGUAAUAAACUUUAUAACUAAUGGCAACAUGCUCACUAUUUUGUAUCA